rnacentral:rRNA from 1 species
CCUACGGGUGGCAGCAGUGAGGAAUAUUGGUCAAUGGCCGUAAGGCUGAACCAGCCACGUAGCGUGAGGGAAGACUGCCCUCUGGGUUGUAAACCACUUUUAUGCGGGGAUAAAGUUGUCCAAGCGUGGAUGUUUGCGCGUACCGCCUGCAUAAGGACAGGCUCAUUCCGUGACAGCAACCGCGGUAAUACGGAAGGUCCGGGCGUUAUUCGGAGUGAUUGGGUUGAAAGGGAGCGUAGGCCGGUCAUGAAGGGUGCCGGGAAAUUUUGUGGCUCAACCAUGGGAGUGCGGCGCGAACUGGAGCCCGUGAGUGCGCUGAAGGCAGGCGGAAUUCGUGGUGUAGCGGUGAAAUGCUUAGAUAUCACGAAGAACCCCGGUGGCGAAGGCAGCCUGCCGCAGCGUGACUGACGCUGAAGCUCGAAAGCGCGGGUAUCGAACAGGAUUAGAUACCCUUGUAGUC